rnacentral:lncRNA from 1 species
UCCCAGGAUCCAUAAUGCUCCUCGGUAAAUCCUAGCACAAUACAAGAUCUGAAACAUGAACUUGGCAGACAAAUCUUGAAGCAGAGAUCUUUCUUUGUUAAUUUAAGCUCAAAUAAAAACAAGGGCCAGGCACUCACGCCUGUAAUCCCAGCACUUUGGGAGGCCGAGGCGGGCGGAUCACGAGGUCAGGAGAUCGAGACCAUCCUGGCUAACAUGGUGAAAUCACGUCUCUACUAAAAAUACAAAAAAAUUAGCCGGGCAUGGUGGCGGGCGCCUGUAGUCCCAGCUACCCGGGAGGCUGAGGCAGGAGAAUGGCGGGAACCCAUUCUCGGGAAGCGGAGCUUGCAGUGAGCCAAGAUCGCGCCACUGCACUCCAGGCUGGGUGACAGAGCGAGACUCCGUCUCAAAAAAAAAAAAAAAACAAGGGCCAGGCACGGUGGCUCACGCCUGUAAUCCUAGCACAUUCGGAGGCUGAGGCCAGCGGAUCACUUGAGCCCAGGAGCUCAAAACCAGCCUGGGCAACAUGGUGAAACCCCAUCUCUACUAAAAAUACAAAAAUCAGCCAGGCAUGGUGAUGCACAUCUGUAAUCCCAGCUAUUGAGGAAACUGAGGCAUAAGAGCUCCUUGAGGCCGGGCACAGUGGCUCACGCCUGUAAUCCCAGCACUUUGAGAGGCUGAGGCGGGCGGAUCACCUGAGGUUGGGAGUUCAAGACCAGCCUCACAAACAUGGUGAAACCUCGUCUCUACUGAAAAUACAAAAAAAAUUUGCUGGAUGCAGUGGCACGCACCUGUAGUCCAGAUACUUGGGAGGCUGAGGCUGGAGAAUCGCUUGAACAUGAGAGGCGGCGGUUGCAGUGAGCCGAGAUCGCGCCACUGCACUCUAGCCUGUGAGACAGAGCAAGACUCCAUCUCAAAAAAAAAAAAAAAAAAAGAACUGCCUGAAUCCAGGAGGCGGAGGUUGCAAUGCCCUGAGAUAGCGCCACUGCACUCCAGCCUGGGUGACAGAGCAAGCUUCUGUCUCAAUAACAAAAAAACAAAAAACAAAAACCAACAAGAUUCUGCAGUUCUAAAGUAUUUUAGAUAAAUAUUUCAGAAAGAAUCUAACAAAACCUAGGUUUCAGUUCUCUCCAGAAAUCACAAAGAUUAAAAGUAAAAUAACUGUUCUUAUUAUUAGGAACAUUCUAAAACUGGUAAACCUAGCAGUAAAAAUAAAAUACCAAAAUGUUUCCCAGUAAAGUGUCCAUUUAGGACACAGUGAAGGCAAAUUUGGCUUAAUCUCUUACUACUCUAAGAAAUGUAUUAUUUUAUGGCCAGACACUGUGGCUCACACCUGUAAUCUCAGCAUCUGGGGAGGAUGAGGUGGGAGGAUUGCUUUAGUCCAGGAGUUCGAGACCAGCCUGGGCAACAAAGCAAGGCCCUCAUCUCUCUUAAAAAAAUAAAUAAAUAAAGUAAAAACAAAACAAAAACAAAAACAAAAAAUCAGGAAUGUAUUAUUUUAAUGUAAAAAGUAAUUCACUUUUUAUUUUCAGUCACUGAAGAGGCAAGGUGUUGAACUGAACAAUGGAUACAGAAGAAGUACAAGGGAUCAGUAAAAAAAUAAUAGUAAAGAAAGCAACCAUUCAUUCAUUCAUUUAGAUUAAAAAAAUAAAUAGAGACAAAGUCUCACCAUGUUGCCCAGGCUGGUCUCCAACUCCUGACAUCCAGCAAUUCUCCUGCCUUGGCCUCCCAAAGUGCUGGGAAUACAAGUGUGAGCCACCAUACCCAGCCAACAAUUCUUUAGUUUAAAAUGUUAAACUGAAUAAAGUCCUUAGUCAUCUUUCCCCUAAGAUUUUAAUUAAAUUUAUUCAGAAAAACUUAAUUAUAGAAACCAAAGCUCUAAGAGAUUAUGGCUGUCAAAAACAAAUUCUUAAUGUCAUAGCUCUUUUAAAAUUUGUUUAGCAGGCUUUCUGGUUUUUGCCGGAAAGCCCUCUCACAAAAAAAAAAAAAAAAAAAAAAAAAGCAAAUCCUUAAUAUGAUUUUCUUCUCACAAAGGAAGCAAAUCCUGCUCUGCUCACUUCCAUAAAUAUUAAUAUAUUUUCAUAUCAUAAAAACAAUUUUGUACUUGUCCCUUCCUUCCUGAGACAUAUUUCAAGUCUGUUAGAGACUAUCCAUCAGAUGCUUUAAAUGAAGCAAAAUUUAGAUGCAACAGUCCUUUCUCAUUAGCAAAGGCUCUCUGAAGGGAAAGACAGAUUUAGGUUGCAUUUUCAAUCUUUCUCUUCAUUAAAUGUGAAAGGAAGAUAUAAAUAAUAGUAAUAGCCAAAAAGUGAUGCCAUUUAAAAAUAUGCUCUUUAGUUACUUUAAGAUUCACAAUGUUUUAGAGAAAAUCAGAAUAGAGACCCUGAGCUAAAUCACUCCUAAAAAAAUUAUUUUGGGCCAUUUAUUAUAGACUAAAUGAGAGUGGAGUUAGCGAGAUGCUUGUUGUACAAACUUGUCUUAUUUUGGCUUGAUUGUCCUCUCCAUUCUAUUUUCUAUCAACUGACCCUUUAAAGAUAAAAACUGAUAAAAUGCUUACUUGACCUUACAUUUAAAUGUAUUUUAAACCUACUUGACAGAUUUAAUAGCAUGAAAGACUUCAAGCAUCUUCUCAACAAUAAGCAUUCUCAGGUUAUCAAAGCGCUGAAUGGCUUCACGAACAAACUCCAAGACAUCAGCAGCUGCUGCUUCGUUGUUGUCACUGAGAAAUUCCAUUAACUAAAAGAAAAAAAA